AUUAUUAAGUGGCCGAACUUUAAGCACUAGAUUUUUAAUCUAGAACAUGAUUAUGUUUUAAUCCUUAAUGG
rnacentral:tRNA from 1 species